UACGUAGGGCGCAAGCGUUGUCCGGAAUUAUUGGGCGUAAAGAGCUCGUAGGCGGCUUGUCACGUCGGGUGUGAAAGCCCCGGGGCUUAACCCCGGGUCUGCAUUCGAUACGGGCUAGCUAGAGUGUGGUAGGGGAGAUCGGAAUUCCUGGUGUAGCGGUGAAAUGCGCAGAUAUCAGGAGGAACACCGGUGGCGAAGGCGGAUCUCUGGGCCUUACCUGACGCUGAGGCGCGAAAGCUAGGGGAGCGAACAGG
rnacentral:rRNA from 1 species